ACUCAACGAAAAUCUAUUAUAGAGGACGAGUUUUAGUUGCUAAAGCAUGCCAUCAGAACUAGUUUCUUGGAUGGAUCCUUGAUCAACUAGUUAGUCCUAUACUUGUAAUAAUAGAGUUU
rfam:OM182 bacterium BACL3 MAG-120619-bin32 contig01961_1_120619-bin32, whole genome shotgun sequence.